rnacentral:rRNA from 1 species
GUGUCAGCCGCCGCGGUAACACGUAGGAUCCAAGCGUUAUCCGGAUUUACUGGGCGUAAAGCGCGUGUAGGUGGUUUGUUAAGUUGGGUGUUAAAUCUCUCGGCUCAACUGAGAGAUGUCGCUCAAAACUAGCAGACUGGAGGAUGGUAGAGGGAGGUGGAAUUCCGGGUGUAGUGGUGAAAUGCGUAGAUAUCCGGAGGAACACCAGUGGCGAAGGCGGCCUCCUGGACCAUUCCUGACACUCCAACGCGAAAGCUAGGGGAGCAAACGGGAUUAGAUACCCCCGUAGUCC